CUUUUUUUUAAUGUCUCUAACUUUUGCCUGGAUCGCCCUUUCGGGUUUUCAAUCCACCGAGACGCUCCUUUUUUACCUAAGUCUCCCUUUGGGGUGUUCGACUUAGCGAGCUAUUCUUUUUUUUUGUUUAGGCGAAGUAUUUCUUGACUGCAUCAGAGUUCACAGGACGAGUGAACUUCCAUCCAUUGUUGUAAGUGUCAAAACAUUGCCUGAAGAGGCUGGACGUUCAUAGCUUGGAGUCCACUUGCCCCUGGACUUGGGCACGAAAGGCAAGACUUUCUUGAGCACAAGGUCCCUCGGAACACACGAGUCUUGACCUUCUUGUUUUCACUCUCUGCUAAUAUGACUGACCAUGACACAUGGCAGUUGAUCUCUUGUUUUCGAUCGAAUUCAGCAUCAGUCAACUUGGGACUUUGAGGGUGCUAUUUUUCUUUUAUUUCUUUCUUUCUUUUUUUUUUGCUUUUGAUUUCUUUUGAUUUUGCACCCUCCUCUUUU
rnacentral:lncRNA from 1 species